GCUCCCAUAGUUAAGCCUGGAUAUAAUACAACCUUGCGGAGGUUGGGUCCGAGGUUCAAAUCCUCGUGGGGGCG
rnacentral:tRNA from 1 species